rfam:Desulfosporosinus sp. OL contig00049, whole genome shotgun sequence.
AAACAAGAUUUAUCAUGAGAAGUCAGCAGAGACCAUAGUACCCGAGGAAGUCGACGUCGACGUCGUCGGGGAAGGGU